GACGAACGCUGGCGGCGUGCUUAACACAUGCAAGUCGAACGGAAAGGCCCGGCUCUUGUGGGUUGCUCGAUUGGCGAACGGGUGAGUAAAACGCGUGUAUACUGCCCCUAUCUUUGGGAUAACAUCAGGGAACUGGGGCUAUUACCGGGUAUGACCUCUUGCUGCAUGUUGGGGGUCGGAAAGUUUCGGCGGUUGGGGAUGGACUAGCGGGUUAUGAGCUUGUUUGUGGAGUAGGUGCUGUCCAGGGUUAUGACGGGUAGCCGGCCUGAGAGGCUGACCGGCCACAUUGGUACUGCGAUACGGCCCAGACUCCAACGGGAGGCAGCAGUGGAGAGUCUUACACAAUAGGCGGAAGUCUGAUGCGGAAACGCUGCGUGCGUGAUGACGGGCUUCUGGUGAUAAACCGCUUUCGCAUGUGACGAAGCGUGAGUGACGGUAAUGGGUAAAGAAGCACCGGCUAACUACGUG
rnacentral:rRNA from 1 species